AAUGUUCGUGGAAUCAGGAUGUAACGAAGCAAACUGCAGUAAUUUGCCCAAAACUGACGCCGUUAUGCCUGACAAAUUUUUUGAAAUGAACACCUACUUUUGUAAUCUGCAGUGUUAGAACUUAUAUUAUAAUUGUGACUCCUAGAGGAAGAAUUCUUGCAGCAUUGAGGAAAGCCAAAUAUGAACUGACUGAUGACCUGGUUCAACGAGUUGAGGGAAUGGUUAAAGAAAACCGAAGAUUCACCAUUACUGCUUUUUCUUCGGAAUUUCCAGAAGUUUCAAGGUCUGUUUUAUACUCUACUGGAAUUCAUUAGCGGCAACUUUCCUUGAAGAUGUAAAAGCUUUUUCCACAGACAUGACAAAUGUCUCAAUCUCUUAUGUCUAAACGUAACAAUAAGUGUACCAAUCUUUGGGUAAUAAAAUUAUCGUUUUA